rnacentral:rRNA from 1 species
UACGAAGGGGAGCUAGCGUUGUUCGGAAUUACUGGGCGUAAAGCGCACGUAGGCGGCUUGUUAAGUCAGGGGUGAAAUCCUGGAGCUCAACUCCAGAACUGCCUUUGAUACUGGCGAGCUUGAGUCCGGGAGAGGUGAGUGGAACUGCGAGUGUAGAGGUGAAAUUCGUAGAUAUUCGCAAGAACACCAGUGGCGAAGGCGGCUCACUGGCCCGGUACUGACGCUGAGGUGCGAAAGCGUGGGGAGCAAACAGGG